CGGGACACGUGGUAUCCUGUCUGAAUAUGGGGGGACCAUCCUCCAAGGCUAAAUACUCCUGACUGACCGAUAGUGAACCAGUACCGUGAGGGAAAGGCGAAAAGAACCCCGGCGAGGGGAGUGAAAAAGAACCUGAAACCGUGUACGUACAAGCAGUGGGAGCACGCUUAGGCGUGUGACUGCGUACCUUUUGUAUAAUGGGUCAGCGACUUAUAUUCUGUAGCAAGGUUAACCGAAUAGGGGAGCCGAAGGGAAACCGAGUCUUAACUGGGCGUUAAGUUGCAGGGUAUAGACCCGAAACCCGGUGAUCUAGCCAUGGGCAGGUUGAAGGUUGGGUAACACUAACUGGAGGACCGAACCGACUAAUGUUGAAAAAUUAGCGGAUGACUUGUGGCUGGGGGUGAAAGGCCAAUCAAACCGGGAGAUAGCUGGUUCUCCCCGAAAGCUAUUUAGGUAGCGCCUCGUGAAUUCAUCUCCGGGGGUAGAGCACUGUUUCGGCAAGGGGGUCAUCCCGACUUACCAACCCGAUGCAAACUGCGAAUACCGGAGAAUGUUAUCACGGGAGACACACGGCGGGUGCUAACGUCCGUCGUGAAGAGGGAAACAACCCAGACCGCCAGCUAAGGUCCCAAAGUCAUGGUUAAGUGGGAAACGAUGUGGGAAGGCCCAGACAGCCAGGAUGUUGGCUUAGAAGCAGCCAUCAUUUAAAGAAAGCGUAAUAGCUCACUGGUCGAGUCGGCCUGCGCGGAAGAUGUAACGGGGCUAAACCAUGCACCGAAGCUGCGGCAGCGACGCUGAUGCGUUGUUGGGUAGGGGAGCGUUCUGUAAGCCUGUGAAGGUGUGCUGUGAGGCAUGCUGGAGGUAUCAGAAGUGCGAAUGCUGACAUAAGUAACGAUAAAGCGGGUGAAAAGCCCGCUCGCCGGAAGACCAAGGGUUCCUGUCCAACGUUAAUCGGGGCAGGGUGAGUCGACCCCUAAGGCGAGGCCGAAAGGCGUAGUCGAUGGGAAACAGGUUAAUAUUCCUGUACUUGGUGUUACUGCGAAGGGGGGACGGAGAAGGCUAUGUUGGCCGGGCGACGGUUGUCCCGGUUUAAGCGUGUAGGCUGGUUUUCCAGGCAAAUCCGGAAAAUCAAGGCUGAGGCGUGAUGACGAGGCACUACGGUGCUGAAGCAACAAAUGCCCUGCUUCCAGGAAAAGCCUCUAAGCAUCAGGUAACAUCAAAUCGUACCCCAAACCGACACAGGUGGUCAGGUAGAGAAUACCAAGGCGCUUGAGAGAACUCGGGUGAAGGAACUAGGCAAAAUGGUGCCGUAACUUCGGGAGAAGGCACGCUGAUAUGUAGGUGAAGCGACUUGCUCGUGGAGCUGAAAUCAGUCGAAGAUACCAGCUGGCUGCAACUGUUUAUUAAAAACACAGCACUGUGCAAACACGAAAGUGGACGUAUACGGUGUGACGCCUGCCCGGUGCCGGAAGGUUAAUUGAUGGGGUCAGCGCAAGCGAAGCUCUUGAUCGAAGCCCCGGUAAACGGCGGCCGUAACUAUAACGGUCCUAAGGUAGCGAAAUUCCUUGUCGGGUAAGUUCCGACCUGCACGAAUGGCGUAAUGAUGGCCAGGCUGUCUCCACCCGAGACUCAGUGAAAUUGAAC
rnacentral:rRNA from 1 species